rnacentral:rRNA from 1 species
UACGUAGGGCGCGAGCGUUAUCCGGAUUCACUGGGUUUAAAGGGUGCGUAGGCGGGUUUGUAAGUCCGUGGUGAAAUCUCCGAGCUUAACUCGGAAACUGCCGUGGAUACUAUAGAUCUUGAAUGUCGUGGAGGUAAGCGGAAUAUGUCAUGUAGCGGUGAAAUGCUUAGAUAUGACAUAGAACACCAAUUGCGUAGGCAGCUUACUACACGAUUAUUGACGCUGAGGCUCGAAAGCGUGGGGAUCAAACAGG